AUGUUGGCUGUCCACAUGUGUAAACGGCAUGUGUUAGCAAGGGCCGGGCAAGACCGGUGCCAGCCGCCGCGGUAACACCGGCGGCCCGAGUGGUAAUCACUUUUAUUGGGUCUAAAGGGUCCGUAGCCGGUUUGAUCAGUUCUUCGG
rnacentral:rRNA from 1 species